UAGCUCAUUGGUCAGAGCGUUGGCCUGGAGACCCAAGGGUCUGGGUUUGACUCUCUG
rfam:Myotis lucifugus cont2.44623, whole genome shotgun sequence.